UGUAAGCGUAUACCAAAGUUGUUACAGUUAAAACGCUCGUAGUCGGAAUUUGGCAGUUCCGGAUGUGUGCACGUCGUGUGCGCACUUCGCGGGGAUUGCUUUUGUGGUCUUGCGUAGGAUGAGGCACUUUUAUUAGUGAACGUCCUCACGCAACCACUUUUUACUGUGAGAAAAUCAGAGUGCUCAAAGCAGGCAUUUGCCGUGAAUGUAUUAGCAUGGAAUAAUAGAAUAGGACUUGGUUCUAUUUUGUUGGUUUGUUGGGACUGAGUAAUGAUUAAGAGGGACAGUUGGGGGCAUUUGUAUUUCGGUGCUAGAGGUGAAAUUCUUAGAUUACCGAAAGACAAACUGCUGCGAAAGCGUCUGCCAAGGAUGUUUUCAUUGA
rnacentral:rRNA from 1 species